CAGAGGGGGCUUAGUGGUGGGGUGACUGCGUACCUUUUGUAUAAUGGGUCAGCGACUUAUAUUCUGUAGCAAGGUUAACCGAAUAGGGGAGCCGGAGGGAAACCGAGUCUUAAUUGGGCGUUAAGUUGCAGGGUAUAGACCCGAAACCCGGUGAUCUAGCCAUGGGCAGGUUGAAGGUUGGGUAACACUAACUGGAGGACCGAACCGACUAAUGUUGAAAAAUUAGCGGAUGACCUGUGGCUGGGGGUGAAAGGCCAAUCAAACCGGGAGAUAGCUGGUUCUCCCCGAAAGCUAUUUAGGUAGCGCCUCGUGAAUUCAUCUCCGGGGGUAGAGCACUGUUUCGGCUAGGGGGCCAUCCCGGCUUACCAACCCGAUGCAAACUGCGAAUACCGGAGAAUGUUAUCACGGGAGACACACGGCGGGUGCUAACGUCCGUCGUGAAGAGGGAAACAACCCAGACCGCCAGCUAAGGUCCCAAAGUCAUGGUUAAGUGGGAAACGAUGUGGGAAGGCCCAGACAGCCAGGAUGUUGGCUUAGAAGCAGCCAUCAUUUAAAGAAAGCGUAAUAGCUCACUGGUCGAGUCGGCCUGCGCGGAAGAUGUAACGGGGCUAAACCAUG
rnacentral:rRNA from 1 species